rnacentral:misc_RNA from 1 species
GAUGAAGAACGUAGCGAAAUGCGAUAAGUAAUGUGAAUUGCAGAAUUCAGUGAAUCAUCGAAUCUUUGAACGCACAUUGCGCCCGCCAGUAUUCUGGCGGGCAUGCCUGUCCGAGCGUCAUUUCAACCCUCGAACACCUCCGGGGGGUCGGCGUUGGGGAUCGGCCCUUUACGGGGCCGGCCCCGAAAUACAGUGGCGGUCUCGCCGCAGCCUCUCCUGCGCAGUAGUUUGCACACUCGCAUCGGGAGCGCGGCGCGUCCACAGCCGUUAAACACCCCAAACUUCUGAAAUGUUGACCUCGGAUCAGGUAGGAAUACCCGCUGAACUUAAGCAUAUCAAUAAGCGGAGGA